rnacentral:lncRNA from 1 species
GAGGACACAGUGAGCUCUGACCUCACCACAGGCGUGUCAACCAUCCCCAAACCUCGCCGCGGACGCCCCCAAGGCCACACCCUCCCCUCUGGCCAAUGAGAAGGAAGGGAGGGGCAGCCAAAGGCAGGAAGAGGGCGGCACCAGCCCAGGACUCCGCCCCUCGGGGAGGUAAACUCCAUCAAGAUCCCUAAAGCUGAAGAGGAGAGACAGAUCCUAGACCUGCAGAGGUGAGGAAGAGGAGAGGCAGAUCCUAGACCUGCAGAGGUAAAGAGCAGAUCUCUGCAGCCCAGAUCAAGAUCCUAAAGAAACACUCUGAAGCUCUUCAGGUCUCCCCCAUCUCUCCCUCCACCCCUCUCUCCCCCUCUCUCUCUGUAAUCCCCACUCUCUCUCUCUCAACCCUCUCUCUCUCUCUCUCUUCUCCUCUCUCUCUCUCUCUGUAAUCCCGCCUCUCUCUCUCUCUAAUCCUCUCUCUCUCUCUGUAAUCUCUCUCUCUCUCUAAUCCUCUCUCUCUCUCUCUAAUCCACUCUCUCUCUCUCUCUGUAAUCUCCUCUCUCUCUCCCUCUCUCUGUGUAAUCUCCUCUCUCUCUCUCUAAUCUCCUCUCUCUCUCCUGUAAUCUCCUCUCUCUCUCUCUGUAAUCUCCUCUCUCUCUCUGUAAUCUCCUCUCUCUCUCUCUGUAAUCUCCUCUCUCUCUCUGUAAUCUCCUCUCUCUCUGUGUAAUCUCCUCUCUCUCUCUGUAAUCUCCUCUCUCUCUC